rnacentral:rRNA from 1 species
AUUGAACGCUGGCGGCAGGCUUAACACAUGCAAGUCGAGCGGGGGAAGGUAGCUUGCUACCGGACCUAGCGGCGGACGGGUGAGUAAUGCUUAGGAAUCUGCCUAUUAGUGGGGGACAACAUCUCGAAAGGGAUGCUAAUACCGCAUACGUCCUAUGGGAGAAAGCAGGGGAUCUUCGGACCUUGCGCUAAUAGAUGAGCCUAAGUCGGAUUAGCUAGUUGGUGGGGUAAAGGCCUACCAAGGCGACGAUCUGUAGCGGGUCUGAGAGGAUGAUCCGCCACACUGGGACUGAGACACGGCCCAGACUCCUACGGGAGGUAGCAGUGGGGAAUAUUGGACAAUGGGGGGAACCCUGAUCCAGCCAUGCCGCGUGUGUGAAGAAGGCCUUAUGGUUGUAAAGCACUUUAAGCGUGGAGGAGGCUACUUUAGUUAAUACCUAGAGAUAGUGGACGUUACUCGCAGAAUAAGCACCGGCUAACUCUGUGCCAGCCGCCGCCGUAA